UGCAGUUUCAGGUCAUCUGGGGCCCAUAAAAGUCAACUGCAAGUCAACUGAGGGCUAGGAGGUGGAGAAAUGGUUUGAGACACUUCAUUCAUGUGCCAAAGAAGGUUAUUCAACAUGUCAAAUAUCUACCUUGAGGAUUUUGAAGCCAGAUCAAAAGUUUCCCAAAAUGGAAAGUGACCUGUAAUUUCAAGUUUCCAAAAAUGGCAAGUUUUUG
rnacentral:lncRNA from 1 species